rnacentral:rRNA from 1 species
GACGAACGCUGGCGGCGUGCUUAACACAUGCAAGUCGAACGGAAAGGCCCUGCUUUUGUGGGGUGCUCGAGUGGCGAACGGGUGAGUAACACGUGAGUAACCUGCCCUUGACUUUGGGAUAACUUCAGGAAACUGGGGCUAAUACCGGAUAGGAGCUCCUGCUGCAUGGUGGGGGUUGGAAGGUUUCGGCGGUUGGGUUUGGACUCGCGGCUUAUCAGCUUGUUGGUGGGGUAGUGGCUUACCAAGGCUUUGACGGGUAGCCGGCCUGAGAGGGUGACCGGCCACAUUGGGACUGAGAUACGGCCCAGACUCCUACGGGAGGCAGCAGUGGGGAAUAUUGCACAAUGGGCGGAAGCCUGAUGCAGCAACGCCGCGUGCGGGAUGACGGCCUUCGGGUUGUAAACCGCUUUCGCCUGUGACGAAGCGUGAGUGACGGUAAUGGGUAAAGAAGCACCGGCUAACUACGUG